rnacentral:tRNA from 1 species
UCUAAAAUGGCAGAUCAGUGCAUAGGAUUUAAGCUCCUAGUAGAAAAUUUAUAAUUUUUUUUAGAA